rnacentral:rRNA from 1 species
UACGUAGGCAGCAAGCGUUGUUCGGAAUUACUGGGCGUAAAGAGUGUGUAGGCGGUGCUCUAAGUCUGUUGUGAAAUCUCCCGGCUUAACUGGGAGGGUGCAGCGGAAACUAGAGUGCUAGAGGGUGGGAGAGGUAAGCGGAAUUCCUGGUGUAGCGGUGAAAUGCGUAGAUAUCAAGAGGAACACCUGAGGUGAAGACGGGUUGCUGGGCCGACACUGACGCUGAGUGCGCGAAAGCCAGGGGAGCAAACGGG